CUCUUCUUCCCCACAUACAAAACCCUCUCUCACCGCACACAAUCGAACCAAAACCAAAAAGAUGAAAGAAGAAACCUGAUAAAAGGAACAAGAAACCAAAUACUCACACAACCGAACCAAGAAGAAAGAAAAAAAUCAAGGACUCGAUCGAAUCACUACUUCCAUAUCUGCCCUAUUCACUACAAAAGGUCGACAACGGGCUGUUGAUUGCAUUGAUUAAGGUUUAUUUCACAAUACUUUCAGAAAAAUUGCGAAUGUAUGAUCUUCCAUGUGAAUGUAUUUUAUGUAUUCCGUUUCGAAUUCUAAAAAUUGUGAAUGUAUAUAUUAGAUUGCUCUGCUUGUUUCUUCUCUACAGAAAGUAUGUAAAAAUAUGAUGUCAUACAUAAAUUUAUCAGACUGCUUUGCUGGUUUUUCAUCUAUAUUUUAUAUCUAUGAUUCACAACAAAUUGGUACUGUAUUGACAAAUGCUACCCAGCGAGGACUAAUGAGAUCUUCAAGGUUCAAAAACCCCCUCAACAACCUCAGAUUUUAGAGACAAAGAACGAGAGAGAGGACCUUGCCAUUUACUUUCUUCACCGUCAAAAUACGUACUAACCAGCUUGGAUUAUGAGCUUUUUUAGAUGAAGUCGGUGUCAAGCUUGUCUAAUCCGUGCUUCUCUGUCUUUAGUAUUUCUCCUUUUUAAAUUGAGAACGAGUGCUUCACUCUCUAACAAUUGUUUUUAAAUGAUUUUAUUUGAUAGUCCUACCCUAACCUCAUCAUGGAAAUACAACUAAUUACACUCAUUAUCAACAAUAGUUUAAUGUGAUUAUUGCUGCCUAUUAUCUUUCUUAGGAUGAAAUCAGUUAAGUUGGUAUGCUUACAUGGUUAUUGGCAUGAGAUUUAAAUGCAUUAGCUUAUUUACUCAAAAACUGUUUGUUUUCUUGUUAUUUUAUGGAAGAACAUCGUUUUUACUGCAUUUGGCUGAAUAUGGUAGGGGAUGAAGAUGUUGGAAGAUUAUUAUUAAUCUUUUACAGGAGAUCGCGCUGUAACCAGUAAUGACAAUUUAUCCCUUAUUGCUAGUAAGUAAAAGAUCAUAACAUUAAAAAAAUAAAAUAAAAUAAUAAUAAUAAUAAUAAAUUACAUAAUUCAUAUUAUAUGAAAGAUCCUAACAAGUCUUUUUUUUCUUAGAUGAAAAUAUGAAUGAAGUUGAUGGUCAAAACAAGGAUAUAGAUCCAAGUCCAGUUCGCGCUCCUAAGCAUAAGGUCGAAGGAGGAACCCACAAAAUUCGACGACGACGACGUACCCAGUCCAAUGAUGAGAGUCUCACUGCCCUAUCAAGCAUUGCUAAAUUAUCUAAAAAAAUUGCCAAUGCUAUGGAGAUUCAAGCAACGUUGAUACGCUAAACCAAAUCACUUGGCAAUUGGGUUUUUAGAAAAAUUACAAAGCAUGAACAUUGAGAAGCGUGACAUAAUGCAAGUCAUGAAAGUAUUUCAAACAGAUGAGAGUCUAGCUAGAGUAUUUAUGAGCUUGAUUGAUAAAGAAUUCAUGUGUGAUUUGGUUUUUGGAAAUAUUAG
rnacentral:lncRNA from 1 species